CUGCAACCUCUGCCUCCUGGGUUCAAGCGAUUCUCCUGCCUUAGCCUCCUGAGUAGCUGGGAUUCCAGGGAGGUGCCACCAUGCCUAGCUAAUUUUUAUAUUUUUAGUAGAGAUGGGGUUUUACCAAGUUGGCCAGGCUGGUCUCGAACUCCUGACUUCACGUGAUCCACUGCCUAGGCAUCCCAAAGUGCUGGGAUUACAGGCGUGAGCCAGUGUGCCUGGCCUCAAAUUUCUUGACAUUCAAGGCCAUAAACCUCUGGCUUUGGGUUUCCAUCUAGCUCCCACCUUCCUCUCUCCUAAUCCACUCCAUGCACCCAUCCCUCCUGCCUACCUGAACUCCUCAAGGCUCCCCCAACAGAGACUUGUGCCUUUGUUUUCUUCACCAGGGACCUCCUUCCCCUCAUUUUCAUAUUUCAAAUCCUACUCACGCUUUAAACCUCAGCUCAAGUGCCACCUCCUUGUCAGUUUUUAAAAGUUCUUCCCAUCAGGAAAUAACCUCUCCCCACACUUUCCUCUCUUGGCAAUUUGUCUUUAUGCUUUCAGUACUUAGCACAUUCCACCUUACAGAUACUGAUGCGUGGGUCUUGCCACCCCUACUGGCUGGCGAUCUAAUUCACUUCUGCAGUCUUCCCCUGACAGACAGUAAGUGCUCAAUAAACACUCGAAAUAAAUAAAUAUGUUCCUCUAAUCCACACGUGGUGUAAAUGAAAUGCAAAUAAGUAUGCAAAUAUUCAUUUCUCUGUGACCCAGACUUUUUUAUUUGUGUAAAAUCUUCAAAGGCGCUUGGGGUCAAUGUGUGCUGGUCUGCAGGGUCAGGGUUCCUGAUUGAACUCUCAUGUAUUAGUCUGUUUUCACACUGCUAUAAAGAACUACCUGAGACUGGGUAAUUUAUGACGAAGAGGUUUAACCGACUUACAGUUCUGCAGGCUUAACAGGAAGAAUGACUCGGAGGCCUCAGGAAACUUAUAAUCAUGGCGGAAGGCAAAGGGGAAGCAGGGACCUUCUUCACAAGGUGGCAGGAAAGAGAGAGAGAGAAGGGGGAGCUGCCACACACUUUUAAACCAUCAGAUCUCAUGAGAACUCACUCGCUACCACAAGAACAGCAUGGGUGAAACUGCCCCCAUGAUCCAAUCACCUCCCACCAGAUCUUGUGGGGACUACAAUCCGAGAUGAGAUUUGGGUAGGGACACAGAGCCAAACCGUAUCACCUCAGGAAUCAGUUGAGCCCAGAAUUUCAACCAAAGGUCAGCAGUGCACACAUGAACGGGCCAUUCAGCAGGAUAGCGGAUGAUUCUUCAGGAAGAAUCUAUUCUCCAGUCAGAAAGAUCAUGUUCUGUGCUUCCGACAGCAUGCUUAGUCUAGACAGUUAAGAACACCUCUUCGUUAUUUUUGAGGGGACUUCAAUAAGAGGUGCCACCAAUUUAAGGGGCAGGGUUCUGGGUCUGGAGAAUUUCUGAUUAAUGUUUCUCUAAUCUUCUCCAGGACUGGACAAAGUCACAUUCCUUGGUUGUACGACAAGGCCUAGCCACAAAACAGAGUCCACUGGGAGAUUCCUUGUUUUCUGUUCUCUGAGAAUGUUUCAACUUUAUUCUAGAUUCUACAUAGAAUCUACCGGAUUUGGGGAUUCAUCUAUUGGCACCAAACUUGGCACAGGGCCCAAGAGCUGUGCUUGGAGACAAGAAAGCAGCUGCAGACACGUACAUACUGGUGAACACAUUAUUUGGCUGCCACCGGGUCUGAGCUGCUCAGAGGACAGCUCUGAAGCACUGAUCGGUGGAAAAAGCCACACCUGGUGGGACUGGCCCAUACAAACUACAGUGGGUCCAUGAGGCGCAGAGUGUCUCUGAUCACAGCCACUUUCACUUCUUCAUCAACGAGGCUGGGGACAUUUUCAAACACCCCUGGAGAAAGCUUGAAUGGAGUUUACGUUCUGGAAUGCUGCAAUCUGAGUCAAGCCCAGGCAACAAGCGAGAGGGGCUGUACGGCAAAGAAGUCAUGUGUUCUAUCUGCACGGAACAUUACAGCUUGAAAAGCCAUUCAUAAUCUUUAUCUCAUCGGAAUUUGACAACAAUCCUGUGAGGUAGGCAAGGAAGAUGAGGCACAGAGAAGUUGAGUGACUUAUACAAGAACACACAGCAAGUCAGUGGCAGAACCUAACUGGGUCCCUAAAUCUCUAGGUUCCAAGUCAGCUCAGACCUGUCACCUGCCUGCCGUAGACUGGAAAUAACCCAAAUGUUCCUUGACAGAAGAACUGAUAAUAAAUUGUGCAUAUUCACAGUGGAAUCUACAACAGUGCAAAUGAGGCAAUACCCACGACCCCCACCAGCAUGGGUGGACCUCGGAAACCUUAUGUGUAGUGGAAAAGAAUGUUGCAGGAGACUCCACACUUUAUAAUAGCAUUUUUUUUUUUUUUUAUUAUACUUUAGGGUUUUAGGGUACAAGUGCACAAUGUGCAGGUUUGUUACAAAUGUAUCCAUGUGCCAUGUUGAUUUCCUGCACCCAUUAACUCGUCAUUUAGCAUUAGGUGUAU